AUUGAACGCUGGCGGCAGGCCUAACACAUGCAAGUCGAGCGGAUGAAGGGAGCUUGCUCCUGGAUUCAGCGGCGGACGGGUGAGUAAUGCCUAGGAAUCUGCCUGGUAGUGGGGGAUAACGUCCGGAAACGGGCGCUAAUACCGCAUACGUCCUGAGGGAGAAAGUGGGGGAUCUUCGGACCUCACGCUAUCAGAUGAGCCUAGGUCGGAUUAGCUAGUUGGUGGGGUAAAGGCCUACCAAGGCGACGAUCCGUAACUGGUCUGCGAGGAUGAUCAGUCACACUGGAACUGAGACACGGUCCAGACUCCUACGGGAGGCAGCAGUGGGGAAUAUUCGACAAUGGGCGAAAGCCUGAUCCAGCCAUGCCGCGUGUGUGAAGAAGGUCUUCGGAUUGUAAAGCACUUUAAGUUGGGAGGAAGGGCAGUAAGUUAAUACCUUGCUGUUUUGACGUUACCAACAGAAUAAGCACCGGCUAACUUCGUG
rnacentral:rRNA from 1 species